UACGUAGGUGACAAGCGUUGUCCGGAUUUACUGGGCGUAAAGCGCGUGCAGGCGGCCUUGCAAGUCGGACGUGAAAUCCCACGGCUCAACCGUGGAAGUGCAUUCGAAACUGCGAGGCUGGAGUCCUGGAGAGGAAAGUGGAAUACUCGGUGUAGAGGUGAAAUUCGUAGAUAUCGAGUGGAACACCGGUGGCGAAGGCGGCUUUCUGGACAGGUACUGACGCUGAGACGCGAAAGCGUGGGGAGCAAACAGG
rnacentral:rRNA from 1 species